UGGGGAAUUGUUCGCAAUGGGCGCAAGCCUGACGACGCAACGCCGCGUGGAGGAUGAAGACCUUCGGGUCGUAAACUCCUUUCGAUCGAGACGAAUGGUCUCCGGGUGAAUAAUCCGGAGAAGUGACGGUACCGAGAGAAGAAGCCCCGGCUAACUCCGUGCCAGCAGCCGCGGUAAUACGGGGGGGGCAAGCGUUGUUCGGAAUUACUGGGCGUAAAGGGCUCGUAGGCGGCCAACUAAGUCAGACGUGAAAUCCCUCAGCUUAACUGGGGAACUGCGUCUGAUACUGGAUGGCUUGAGUUCGGGAGAGGGAUGCGGAAUUCCAGGUGUAGCGGUGAAAUGCGUAGAUAUCUGGAGGAACACCGGUGGCGAAGGCGGCAUCCUGGACCGACACUGACGCUGAGGAGCGAAAGCCAGGGGAGCAAACGGGAUUAGAUACCCCCGUAGUCC
rnacentral:rRNA from 1 species